GAUGAACGCUAGCGGCAGGCUUAAUACAUGCAAGUCGUGGGGCAGCAUGAGUAGCAAUACUUGAUGGCGACCGGCAAACGGGUGAGGAACACGUACACAACCUUCCUUCAAGCGGGGAAUAGCCCAGAGAAAUUUGGAUUAAUACCCCAUAAUAUAUUUGAUAAGGCAUCUUAUUAAUAUUAAAGCUUCGGCACUUGAUGAUGGGUGUGCGGCUGAUUAGAUAGUUGGCGGGGUAACGGCUCACCAAGUCUACGAUCAGUAGCUGAUGUGAGAGCAUGAUCAGCCACACGGGCACUGAGACACGGGCCCGACUCCUACGGGAGGCAGCAGUAAGGAAUAUUGGACAAUGGACGAAAGUCUGAUCCAGCCAUGCCGCGUGAAGGAUUAAGGUCCUCUGGAUUGUAAACUUCUUUAUAUGGGACGAAAAAGGGCAUUCUUGUUCACUUGACGGUACCAUAUGAAUAAGCACCGGCUAACUCCGUGCCAG
rnacentral:rRNA from 1 species